UAUCCAUCAGAACACAUAAAGGGAUCGCUUUAGGGUUCAGUUCUCAAAUGGGAAUGGGGAAAGGAUCCCUGUCUCUUUAAAUGGGUGCAAAAGAGGGAAUUUCUUUGCCUGUUCCCUGGUUGUACAAGGAACUGAAAUCCCUCCUAUUGACACCUCUUUUAAAAAGGUAUGGGAGUCCCACUUCAGUUUGUACUUUAGCAAGGCCAGUGAGGCCCACACGAGGCUGGGAUGAUGCACCCUGCCUUCGAUUGUGAUGUGCGCAUGGUUCUAUGACAGUUGAUGCUGCCUGUCAUAGUAGAGGCUGACAGUUGAGGAGCCCCAGCCCUGGGGCAAAAGGGCCCCGAAAGGAGCCGAGAGGGGCUUCCCAUGGCCAGAAAGAGAAGCGGGAGAAGGAUGUCCCAUCACCAGGUAAGGGAAGCAGAGGAUGGAGAUCCAACCAGGUAAGAGAUGGAGGGGAGGGAGGAGAGCCAGCAGUCAGGUAAGGGAUGAAGAGGAAGGAGAGUCCAUGUUCAGGUAAGGGAUGAAGAGGAAAGACACCCAAUGAUCAGGUAAGAGAAGAGGAAGGCCACCAAAUGAUCAGGUAAGGGAUGAAGAGGAAAAAUACCUAAUAAUCAGGUAAGGGAUGAAGAGGAAGGACACACAAUUAUCAGGUAAGAGAAGAGGAAGGCCACAAAAUGAUCAGGUAAGGGAUGAAGAGGGAAAAUACCCAAUAAUCAGGUAGGUGAUGAAGAAGAAGGCAACCAAAUAAUCAGGUAAGGGAUGAAGAGGAAAAUACCGAAUAAACAGGUAAGGGCUGAAGAGGAAAAACAACCAAUAAGGUAAGGGAUGAAGAGGAAGUAUAUUCAGUAAUCAGGUAAGAGAAGAGGAAGGCUACCAAAUUAUCAGGUAAGGAAUGAAGAGGAAAAUUCCCAAUAAUCAGGUAAGGGAUGAAGAGGAAGGUCACACAAUUAUCAGGCAAGAGAAGAGGAAGGAUAUUUCAUUAUUAGGUAAGGGAUGAAGAGGAAACAUACCUAAUAAUCCAGAAAGUGAUGAAGAGGAAGAAUAACAAUUGGGAAAGAGAAGAGGAAGGCUACCAAAUCAUCAGGUAAGGAUUGAAGAGAAAACAUACAUUCUAAUCAGGUACGUGAUGAAGAGGAAGAAUACACAAUUAUCAGGUAAGUGAUGAAGAGGAAGAAUACACAAUUAUCAGGUAAGUGAUGAAGAGGAAGUAUAUCCAAUGAUCAGGUAAGAGAAGAGGAAGGCAAACAAAAAUAUCAGGUAAGGGAUGAAGAGGAAAAAUGCCUAAUAAUCAGGUAAGUGAUGAAGAGGAAGGUCACCCUAUUAUCAGGUAAGAGAAGAGGAAGUAUAUUCAAUAACCAGGUAAGAGAAGAGGAAGGAUAGCACAUUAUCAGGUAAGGGAUGAAGAGGAAAAUGCCAAAUAAUCAGGAAAGUGAUGAAGAGGAAGGACACUCAAUCAUCAGGUAAGUGAAGAGGCAUUUUUAAAAAUCUAUUCUCUGGAAGCAUCCAAUGAAAUGGAUCUGCACGAAGAGAAAUCAAUAAGGAAGGAAGAAAUAAAAUGAAAGGAAGGAAGGAAAGGAAGGAAGGAAGGAAGGAAGGAAGGAAGGAAGGAAGGAAGGAAGGAAGGAAGGAAAGAAGGCAGGCAGGCAGAAAGUUGAUUUGAUUGGGAGGAAAACCAAGAUAGGCAGGAGAAAAGCAGGUGUCCCCUAGAGAAGUGCAGAAUACAUGUAUGUAUCUCAGAGUCAAACACCUGUGUGCAGCAAGAGACAGUUGGUAAGAACCAGGUCUUGAUGUGGACUGAAGACGGGCCCCGAAGGAGGAGGAACGCCCUGGGAGAAAAGGCGACACUUGCCAGGCACAGGUGACUCUGGAAACGCACGGCUGUUGGAAGAAGCCAAAAGGAAUGGUUUUCCUUUUGCACCCAAAGGAGAGCCGCAUUUUCUCUUAGAAAACUAAGAAUCCUAGUGAGAAGAGACCACAAAGACCCUCCUGCCUGAGUCCGAAUGCCAGGAACCCAUGACUAACGCAGCCUUGAGAAGCGGGCGACCCAUUUCCAUGCAGAGAUCUCCAACGGAGAAGAGUCCCUCUUCCAAGGAGUCUUUGGCCACCUUGCCAUGUGGAAGGAGACAUCCUGGCAAGUGGAUGUCAGAAGGAGAGGCUCAGGCGGGUAAGUCCCGAGGGCCCUUUCCGCCAUGCCCAGGGUCGCACUGGCCGCCACUUUUGGGGCCGGGAAGGAAUUUUCCUCCAGGACCGAUUGGCCGAGGACCUGGGAGGUUUUUCGGCUUCCUCUGGGCAUCCAGCAGCGGCCGCUGGGUAGGAAGGUUCACUAGAUACAACUCACUAAGCUCAACUCAGGAAAAGGUGAUGUCUUUGUGAGGGAAAAUUAAGAAAGCACGUGGAUAUGGAAACUUUGAAAUGGAAAAUCCGUGUCCAGAGAAAGUAGGAAGGCAAGGUCUUCAGGGGAACAAAGAAGAAGGAAACUGUCACCAUUUGGAAACUGAAGAUGGCACACUGCUGGAUACAACUGACUGCAAACAAUCAAACAGCAAGAAAGUGUUGGAUGACUAGAGAAAGAUAGAUGCCCAGUUCUGAAGAGCAUCACCCUCCACUUGACAGAAAAGGAAAGGAAAGGAAAGGAAAGGAAAGGAAAGGAAAGGAAAGGAAAGGAAAGGAAAGGAAAGGAAAGGAAAGGAAAGGAGAGGAGAGGAAAGGAAAGGAAAGGAAAGGAAAGGAAAGGAAAGGAAAGGAAAGGAAAGGAGAGGAGAAAGGGAAGGAAAGGUCUUUUCUGCCAUGCCCUGGGUAGCACUGACCGCCACGUUUGGGGUCAGGAAGGAAUUUUCCUCCAGGGCGGAUUGGACCCUGGUCCUGGAGGUUUUUCGCCUUCCUCGGGGCAUCCGGCAAAGGCCUCACCAAGUCAGGCUCAGACGCAAUCUCAGACCACAACAGGCCCAUCUUGACCUAACCAACAAAUGCAAGCCAAUUGGAAUAAACAACAUGAAUCUGGAAA